rnacentral:rRNA from 1 species
AUUGAACGCUGGCGGCAUGCCUUACACAUGCAAGUCGAACGGCAGCACGGGAGCAAUCCUGGUGGCGAGUGGCGAACGGGUGAGUAAUAUAUCGGAACGUGCCCAGUCGUGGGGGAUAACGUAGCGAAAGCUACGCUAAUACCGCAUACGAUCUAUGGAUGAAAGCGGGGGAUCGCAAGACCUCGCGCGAUUGGAGCGGCCGAUAUCAGAUUAGGUAGUUGGUGGGGUAAAAGCCUACCAAGCCUUCGAUCUGUAGCUGGUCUGAGAGGACGACCAGCCACACUGGAACUGAGACACGGUCCAGACUCCUACGGGAGGCAGCAGUGGGGAAUUUUGGACAAUGGGCGCAAGCCUGAUCCAGCAAUGCCGCGUGCAGGAUGAAGGCCUUCGGGUUGUAAACUGCUUUGUACGGUAACGAAACGGACGGGCGUCUAACAUAGCUGUCAAUGACGGUACC